AAUUAUGAGUAGAAAAGUAUGCCAAAUCAAAAUAGGUGAAUAGUGCCAAAAAUAAAAACUAUGCAACGAUGCUUUGACAACCAUGGGCUCCUUGAGUCCUUGUGCUAGCUCACGACAUUCGCGCGCCACGACACACAUUCAGCUCACAAUCAAAGCCAAAGAUGAAGCAGAAAAAUGGCACCAAUGUUUCGAUUAAAUCAUCCCUUAUGAUUUCAAGGGAAUGGGUAUCUUGUCAACUUCAGCAGAAGAUGUGUGCUUUGUAAUCCUAAGCGUAAAUCUAGAAGCUACCUUGUCAUCAGUAACUUUUCAACCACUUUCAGCAGACAUUGUUGAUGCUAUCUCCAUUCACUAAUCACUAUGGAAAUUCUCAUGGAGGUAUCUUUAUUAGUGCAUGAAGAAAUAAUCAAGAGCGGAGGACACUGAAAUCUCAAUAUGUGAAGAUAGAUAGUAUUGGACUUAUCUUCUCUAAAAUGGAAUCAGAUCCUAAACUAGCAUUUGAAUUUUUCGGAAGUCCAGUCAUAUCAAACGCCCCCCUAUGGAAUUUGAGAAGUUCAUUCAGAGAAGAAAGUGUACAACCAAUUUAACGUAUCUUAAUAAGCUAAGUGACAACAGACUUGAAUAUGACAUAUCGGACAUUCAAUUCACUAGUUAAGUUUAAGACCGAUGAUCUGUAUAUGAUAGGUCACUGGGUCUUGAAUUCCACUCCACGUUUGUAGUUUACAUUCCCAUUCGCAACCAAAAGAAAUCAUAACAGCAAAAAAUGAAGCAGAAAAAUGGCACCAAUGUUUGGAUUAAAUCAUCCCUUACAAAUUCAAGGGAAUGGGUAUCUUAUUAACUUCAGCAGAAGAUGUGUGCAGCAACCCGUCAAUUUGUAAUCCUAUGAUUUGCUGAAGUUUGUGGAUGUUGUGUCAUUGUUGGAACUUGGAAGAGAUCGAAUGUACUGAAGAGUGUAAUUCUAGAAGUUACCUUGUCAUCAGUAACUUUUCAACCACUUUCAGCAGACUUUACUGAUGUUAUCACCAUUCAUUAAUCACUAUGGAAAUUCGCAUGGAGGUAUCUACUACUCUACUAGGUAUCUUUAUCAGUGCACAUGAAGAAAUAAUCAGAAGCGGAGGACACUGAAAUCCCAAUAUGUGAAGAUAGAUAGUAUUGGACUUAUCUUCUCUAAAAUGGAAUCAGAUCCUCAACUAGCAUUAGAAUUUUUUGGAAGUCCAGGAGGGGAUCUAAGGACUCCAGAAAACACAGUGACGGAGGCGGUGAAACUAACAGAGAUCAUCCACGUCUUCAUAUCUGGUUGUUGCCUUUCUGGAUUUUCGAAGCUACCCUCCAUGAUCUUUGCUGAAACAAGAAAUUGUCCAUGCUCGAUUGAUCUUUUGCUUAUUCAUGAAUUCAUUCAUGUAUGCCAUUGUUCAUAUAAGCAUGUCUCGAUACAGGUACAAGGCAAGAAGGCCAAGAACGGUUUUCUUCCAUACCUGUUGAAUGCUGGAUUGACAAUUUCUUCUGUUUCAACAUCUUACAAGUUAAAAAAAAAAAAAUGUAUUUCUUUUGUUACGGGUUUUUGUAUUCUUUUCUUUCGAGAUUACUGAUCAUUUAGGGAUUGUGCUUGUAGCUUGUGAAUUGUGACAAAUGUUUUAGUUUAUAGCUCCUGAUUGUUUACACGGUGGUAGCGUUGAUAAUCGUUUUAGUCCACAGAUUCUAGACAGUUAGUUGAUGUGAUUCGUCCAUUUUUACAUGACCUUGGUCUUGAUUUUACAUUUUACUUUGUUAGUGAUAUUCAAGUGUAAUACGAUGAGUUUAUUUUUAACAAUUAUGGCGUUAUGAAUAUGAUGA